GAAAUGCGAUAAGUAAUGUGAAUUGCAGAAUUCAGUGAAUCAUCGAAUCUUUGAACGCACCUUGCGCUCCUUGGUAUUCCGAGGAGCAUGCCUGUUUGAGUGUCAUGGAAUUCUCAACUCUAUUUGCUUUUGUGAAUAGAGCUUGGAUUUGGGGGUUUAUUGCUGGUACUUGUGAUCGGCUCCUCUUGAAUGCAUUAGCUCGAACCUUUGCGGAUCAGCUAUCGGUGUGAUAAUUGUCUACGCCGUUGCAGUGAAGCAUAUCAAUGGGCUCGGCUUCCAAUCGUCCUUUACUGGACAAUGACUUUGACCUUUGACCUCAAAUCAGGUAGGAUUACCCGCUGAACUUAAGC
rnacentral:misc_RNA from 1 species